AGUAGGUGUAACGUACCCACUAGCCUACGACGGGUACGGGUUGUGAGAGCAAGAGCCCGGAGAUGGAUUCUGAGACAUGAAUCCAGGCCCUACGGGGUGCAGCAGGCGCGAAAACUUUACAAUGCGGGCAACCGCGAUAAGGGGACCUCGAGUGCUGGGUUACAAACCUGGCUGUUGGGCUGCCUAAAAAGCAGUCUAUAGCAAGGGCCGGGCAAGACCGGUGCCAGCCGCCGCGGUAACACCGGCGGCUCGAGUGGUAACCGCUGUUAUUGGGUCUAAAGGGUCUGUAGCCUGCCGGCUAAGUCUCUUGGGAAAUCUGGCAUCUCAAGUGUCAGGCUGCCAGGGGAUACUGGUCAGCUUGGGACCGGGAGAGGUGAGAGGUACCUCAGGGGUAGGGGUGAAAUCUUGUAAUCCUUGAGGGACCACCAGUGGCGAAGGCGUCUCACCAGAACGGAUCCGACGGCAAGGGACGAAAGCUAGGGGCACGAACCGGAUUAGAU
rnacentral:rRNA from 1 species